UCCAUUGUAGUCUAGUUUGUUAAAUAUUCGGCUCUCACCCCAAAGACCUGGGUUCAAGUCCAGGCAACCCAA